AUUGAACGCUGGCGGCGUGCUUAACACAUGCAAGUCGUGCGGUAACAGGCGUAGCAAUACGUGCUGACGAGCGGCGAACGGGUGCGUAAUACAUGGGAAUCUGCCUUUUAGUGGGGAAUAACCCGGCGAAAGCCGGGCUAAUGCCGCAUAAGAUCUUCGGAUGAAAGCGGGGGAUCGUAAGACCUCGCGCUGAUAGAUGAGCCCAUGCCGGAUUAGCAGUUGGUGAGGUAACGGCUCACCAAGGCGACGAUCCGUAGCUGGUCUGAGAGGACGGCCAGCCACACUGGGACUGAGACACGGCCCAGACUCCUACGGGAGGCAGCAGUGGGGAAUAUUGGACAAUGGGGGAAACCCUGAUCCAGCGACGCCGCGUGUGUGAAGAAGGCCU
rnacentral:rRNA from 1 species